UACGUAGGUGGCAAGCGUUGUCCGGAUUUACUGGGCGUAAAGAGCGCGCAGGCGGUCGUUCAAGUCGCGUGUGAAAGCCCCCGGCUCAACUGGGGAGGGUCACGCGAUACUGAUCGACUCGAAGGCAGGAGAGGGUAGUGGAAUUCCCGGUGUAGUGGUGAAAUGCGUAGAUAUCGGCAGGAACACCAAGGGGGAAACCAGCGAACUGGGCCAUUUCUGACGCUCAGGUGCGAAAGCGUGGGGAGCGAACCGG
rnacentral:rRNA from 1 species